rnacentral:misc_RNA from 1 species
UCCGGUUUGUCACCGGCAGUCUGGCGUGAGUCCCCAACUUAAUGCUGGCAACACGCCACGGGGGUUGCGCUCGUUGCGGGACUUAACCCAACAUCUCACGACACGAGCUGACGACAGCCAUGCAGCACCUGUGUAGGCUGGUAUUGCUACCUCGUCCCGCUUUCACGGUUCUACUACCUACAUGUCAAGGCCAGGUAAGGUUCUUCGCGUUGCAUCGAAUUAAGCCACAUACUCCACCGCUUGUGCAGGCCCCCGUCAAUUUCUUUGAGUUUUAAUCUUGCGACCGUACUUCCCAGGCGGCACGUUUAACGCGUUAGCUUCGCCACGAGUGGGGUCGAUUCCACUCACAGCAAACGUGCACCGUUUACGGCUAGGACUAC